rnacentral:tRNA from 1 species
GCUCCCGUAGCUCAGUUGGAUAGAGCGACGGUUUCCUAAACCGUAGGUCGCAUGUUCGAUUCAUGCCGGGGGCACCA